AUUGAACGCUGGCGGCAUGCUUUACACAUGCAAGUCGAACGGUAACAGGCCGCAAGGUGCUGACGAGUGGCGAACGGGUGAGUAAUGCAUCGGAACGUGCCCAGUCGUGGGGGAUAACGCAGCGAAAGCUGUGCUAAUACCGCAUACGAUCUAUGGAUGAAAGCGGGGGACCGUAAGGCCUCGCGCGAUUGGAGCGGCCGAUGUCAGAUUAGGUAGUUGGUGGGGUAAAGGCUCACCAAGCCAACGAUCUGUAGCUGGUCUGAGAGGACGGCCAGCCACACUGGGACUGAGACUCGGCCCAGACUCCUACGGGAGGCAGCAGUGGGGAAUUUUGGACAAUGGGCGCAAGCCUGAUCCAGCAAUGCCGCGUGCAGGAAGAAGGCCUUCGGGUUGUAAACUGCUUUUGUACGGAACGAAAAGGUUUGGGUUAAUACCCUGGGCCGAUGACGGUACCGUAAGAAUAAGCACCGGCUAACUACGUGCCAGCAGCCGCGGUAAAAC
rnacentral:rRNA from 1 species